rnacentral:rRNA from 1 species
UACGGAGGGUGCAAGCGUUGUCCGGAUUUAUUGGGUUUAAAGGGUGCGUAGGCGGCUUGAUAAGUCCGUGGUGAAAUCCUGGAGCUCAACUCCAGAACUGCCUUUGAUACUGGAAAGCUUGAGUUCGGGAGAGGUGAGUGGAACUGCGAGUGUAGAGGUGAAAUUCGUAGAUAUUCGCAAGAACACCAGUGGCGAAGGCGGCUCACUGGCCCGAUACUGACGCUGAGGUGCGAAAGCGUGGGGAGCAAACAGG